rnacentral:rRNA from 1 species
GACGAACGCUGGCGGCGUGCUUAACACAUGCAAGUCGAACGGAAAGGCCCUGCUUUUGUGGGGUGCUCGAGUGGCGAACGGGUGAGUAACACGUGAGUAACCUGCUCUUGACUUUGGGAUAACUUCAGGAAACUGGGGCUAAUACCGGAUAGGAGCUCCUGCUGCAUGGUGGGGGUUGGAAAGUUUCGGCGGUUGGGGAUGGACUCGCGGCUUAUCAGCUUGUUGGUGGGGUAGUGGCUUACCAAGGCUGUGACGGGUCGCCGGCCUGAGAGGGUGGCCGGCCACAUGGGGACUGAGGUACGGCCCAGACGCCUACGGGGGGCAGCGGUGGGGAAUAUUGCACAAUGGGCGGAAGCCUGAUGCAGCAACGCCGCGUGCGGGAUGACGGCCUUCGGGUUGUAAACCGCGUUCGCCUGUGACGAAGCGUGAGUGACGGUAAUGGGUAAAGAAGCACCGGCUAACUACGUG